rnacentral:lncRNA from 1 species
GAUUUUAUUUAGCAUUUCAUCUUUAUUAAAACUUUAAAUGAGAAGAGAAAAAUGUCAGUACACAAUGUCUUCAAACUAUCCAGCUGUAAACUUGAUUUUAGUAUCAACCAUGUUAGUAAUCUUUUAGACAAUAUGCCUCACAUAAUAGUCAAUUUUGGUUAAUGUAAAAAUAAUUUUGAGGCUAAUUUUUAUAUCUCUUCCAAGUAAUAUAAAAAUUAGGAAUUUAGAUUAAUUCGUGUAGUAAAAUAAAAUUUCUGGAAACAUUGGAGAGUAUGAAAAGGAUCAAAGAUUUUACUUUUUGACUUCUGAUUAUAAGAAAAUCUCUUAAUGAAAUAUAUUGCAUGAAGGAUUUAUGUCAUUAGAAAAAUUAGAACUGUUUGGAAAACUACAGAGAACAUUUAUAGUGAGCAGGAACGUACAGUACCUGUCUGCAGCUGUGUGCGGUAGUUUGAGUAAUCCUCUCUAAUCCCCUGGUGGAGCAGUGAGUUCCUUGCUAUCUGUGUCGUGUUCUGGAUUCUCAAAUGAAAGUCGCAUGUGCACGCAUGCACACACGCGCGCACACACACACACACACACACACACACGCACGCACGCACGCACGCACACACACACACGCACACGCACACGCACGCACACACAACCUCAUAUUUAAUAAUGCCCUAAGACACUCCCAAAUCUCCACAAGGCAGCACACUCUCCCCUUCGAUACUCUUGAAUUAUUUCUUACUAACUCCUCCCUGACUUUUGCAUGUUGUCUGUCUCUCUGUCCUGCACUUCUCAGGCCUGGUCUUUCUGCUUCCCUAGCAUGGUAGUUCCGCUUCUUCUUUGGUCCCCUUGCCCAGGAAUCCUAAAGUCCCACCACCUUCUUCUCCCUGCCUAGCUAUUGGCCGCCGGCAGCUUUAUUCACCAGUCAGAACCAGCUGGGGGCAGGGACCCUCAGCAUCUUACGUGCGGAAUUCUCUUGCAAGUCCCAAAUAAUAUAAUGCAAACAAUAAAGCAAAUCUCAACAUGGCUGUGUUCAGUUUUUCAAGUAAUGAUGGAAAAUAACUAAAAAAAAAAGUCUCUCCCUUUCUUUCUUUCUUUCUUUCUUUCCAUCUUUAUGCAUAUCACUUUCAACCUUCCAUAGGAGAGACCUGCAUACUCUGUGUGAACAUCUUCAGUGUGUUCUGCCUCAGCUUGAAGAAGAGGCUUCAGGCAUUUGUCCCCCUUCCCAGCAUCAUUGUCCAUGCAGACCUGCAAGUUGUCUUCCACACAUUCUUUAAUCUUUUCCCUUAGGAAGACUUGUCUACUUUUCCUCUGUCACUGCCAUCUUCAUCCUAGUGCAACCAGGUCUUACCUUAAUUGCUGUAGUCCUUCCUCUUAUCUUCCUCUCUUCCUUCACUCAUAUUUCUGUAGCUCAGUACGGCCUCUGGUCUUUUUGCAGUACAGUUUGAUGAGGUCAUUCUGGUCCCAGCCCCUUUCCAGCAGUGUAUUUGUUGUCCCUCCUCUCACCCAUUCUGUGUACAUCUGCCAUAUCCAUCGCACCUCUGUCUAACACUAACAUGCUUCUUGGUCUUCACGUCUAUUUUCUAGAAAGGCAGCUUUCAGACUGCUACUCCACUCUAACUCUUUCAGCAUAGACUUCACUUCACUAGGUCACUGGCCUUUUUGACUAGCACCUCUCCUGUCCAUUAUGAAAACCAGGUCUCUGCUUUCUUUUUUUUUUUUUUUUUAAAGAUUUAUUUAUUUAUUAUAUGUAAGUACACUGUAGCUGUCCUCAGAUACUCCAGAAGAGGGGAUCAGAUUGCAUUAAGGAUGGUUGUGAGCCACCAUGUGGUUGCUGGGAUUUGAACUCUGGACCUUCGGAAGAGCAGCCGGGUGCUCUUACCCACUGAGCCAUCUCACCAGCCCUUUUUUUUUUUUUAAAGAUUUAUUUAUUUAUUAAUGUGAGUACAUGAGUACACUAUAGCUGUCUUCCAGAUGAAGAAGUCCAGACGAGGGCAUCAGGGUGGUUGUGAGCCACCAUAUAGUUGGUGGGAUUUGAACUCAGGACCUUCAGAAGAACAGUCAGUACUCUUAACUGCUGAGCCAUCUCUCCAGCCCUAAGAACAAGUGUUCUUAACCACUGAGCUACUUUCCAACCCCAAAGAUUUAUUUAUUUAUUUAUUUAUUUUAUGUAUAUGAGUACACUGUAGCUCUCUUCAGACACACCAGAAGAGGGCAUCUGAUCCCAUUACAGAUGGUUGUGAGCCACCAUGUGGUCGCUGGGAAUUGAACUCAGGACCUCUGGAAGAACAGUCGGUGCUCUUAACCACUGAGCCAUCUCUCCAGCCUAGGUCUCUGCUUUCUUACAGCAUCUGUAGGAGGCCUUUGCAGGUUUGAGAGUUGUCUCCUAGUGCUUUAAGGUGCCUGUGGUAUGUAAUGAACUUCUGUACUUCUGGUAGGAUGAUACUAGCUUUCUACCAAUCUUAAGAAUUGAGAAGAUAACACUUACGUGAUCACCACAUAGUUUAGUACUCCAGGGAAUCCCAGUUAACAAAGGCUGGUCGGUGCUUGACUGUGAUCACAUUUUGUUUUGCACAUUGUUUUUUAUUACUUGGUUUUGUUUCUUUCACCAGAUUUUAAGAAUGUAGUCAUGUGAUUAGUUCAUCAUUGGGCAGCGUCCUGAGCUUCACACAGUGCUGACUCAGUCAGCUCUCAGUGUCUCUGGAAUGAGUCAAUGGCAGCACUGUUGGCACUCCGUUAGAAAAGAGGAGUUUGUGCAAAUGAGACUAUAAAGACAUACAUGGUUUUUGAGAAAUAUAAAUUUACAUUUCAGGAAAACCACUAACAAAAACUAGUAUGCAUAAAUCAUAAAAGGCCUUUGAAGUUUAUCUUAUAGUAUAUCAUAAAAAAACAGUAUAAGAAAUCCAUACAUGCUUUCUCUGGUCUCUUGCCCCAUAGUCAGUAAGUCUUUAUACUGAAAAUGUGCUAAAUUACAUUCUAGGGGCCACUUUAAGUAACCUUUUUAUAAUUUGAUUUUUAACUAGCAAAAUUUAACUAUUUUAAAAAUUACCAGUAAUAGAUUUCAGUCAUUAAAAGUUAGGAAUUACAGCCAGGUGUAGAGUACAGGAGCCUGAAAUAUCAGCACUUGGAAAGUAAACACUGAAGAGUUUGUAUGUUUGAGUUAAGCCUGGGCUACGUAGAAAGGCCAUGUCAAAAAAUAAAAUAGGUGAAAUUAAUCAAAUCUACUUAUCAGGAAAAAGAAAAAAAGGUCAGUAGAGGACAUGUAUCUUACAUGCACAGGGGUGUCUUUGAACGCAGAACUGCAAAUAAAAAGAGUAGACUUAAACUAGGCAUGGUGGAGCAUGCCUUAAAUCCCAAGUACUUACAGUAAAGGCAAGUAGAUCUCCAUGAGUGCAAGGCCGGGCUAGUCUGUAUAGUGAGUUCUAGGACACCCAGGGCUAUGUAGAGAGAGUGUGUC